rnacentral:misc_RNA from 1 species
UUUCCGUAGGUGAACCUGCGGAAGGAUCAUUAUUGAGCCCUGCCCUCACGGGUAGACCUCCAACCCUGUGUAUUUAUACCUUUGUUGCUUUGGCAGGCCCGUCCUCGGACCGCUGGCUUCGGCUAGUCCGUGCCUGCCAGAGGACCCAAAACUCAUAUUAUUAAUGUCGUCUGAGUACUAUAUAAUAGUUAAAACUUUCAACAACGGAUCUCUUGGUUCUGGCAUCGAUGAAGAACGCAGC